rnacentral:lncRNA from 1 species
AAGAGUAGUCAUCAAAUGAUAAAUCCCAAAAUAGUUUUGCAUGUAAUUGUUAACAUACCACCUAUAUGGAUCCGAGAUUGGUUGACGUUGUCCAUAAGCAAAAUCAUUUGAAGAUUGGGUCUCAGAUUCUUUCCAUGAGCCGCUUGAUUCCAUCCCAAAAGGGAAAGGUCAAAGACUCACAUUCUCAUUUGUAAGUCUAAUUUUUGCAAAAACAGUUCAAAAUAAAAUAAUAAAAGUAUACAUAUUUCAGCAUAUUAUCACAAAAACAUAAGCAACAUGGUGGUUAAGGCAUUGGAAGAGUGAAAUGACAGGGGUUUGAAUUCCCUUUGCGUGUGUGCUUUGUGUUUUUUUUUUCAUUUUUUUCUAUUACAUCGAUAUUUUCGAUAUUAUAGCAAUAUUUUGACAAAAUAUUAUUGAAGUGUGAGCGAAAUUAUCGACAUUGAUAUUUUCCGAUAUUACGUCGAUAUUUAUACGAUAUGUGUAUUGAUAUGUUCUGAAAUAUUCGUGACUCGAAAAAAGGAUAAUAUCCUCAAUAUUUU